UACGGAGGGUGCAAGCGUUGUUCGGAAUUACUGGGCGUAAAGCGCACGUAGGCGGGUUCCUAUGUCGAUUGUGAAAGCCCCGGGCUCAACCUGGGAAUUGCAGUCGAAACUGGGAAUCUUGAGUGCUUGAGAGGGUGGUGGAAUUCCUGGUGUAGAAGUGAAAUUCGUAGAUAUCAGGAGGAACAUCAGAGGCGAAGGCGGCCACCUGGCAAGACACUGACGCUGAGGUGCGAAAGCGUGGGGAGCAAACAGG
rnacentral:rRNA from 1 species